UCCCAGACUCCUACGGGAGGCAGCAGUGGGGGAUAUUGCACAAUGGGGGAAACCCUGAUGCAGCGACGCCGCGUGUGGGAAGACGGUCCUCUGGAUUGUAAACCACUGUCCCCAGGGACGAAGAUGACGGUACCUGGGGAGGAAGCUCCGGCUAACUACGUGCCAGCAGCCGCGGUAAUACGUAGGGAGCGAGCGUUGUCCGGAAUUACUGGGUGUAAAGGGAGUGUAGGUGGCAUAACAAGUCAGAAGUGAAAGCCCGGGGCUCAACCGCGGGACUGCUUUUGAAACUGUUAAGCUUGAGUGCAGGAGAGGUAAGCGGAAUUCCUAGUGUAGCGGUGAAAUGCGUAGAUAUUAGGGGGAACACCAGUGGCGAAGGCGGCUUACUGGACUGUAACUGACACUGAGGCUCGAAAGCGUGGGGAGCAAACAGGAUUAGAUACCCUAGUA
rnacentral:rRNA from 1 species